AGCCACAGCCAUAUCACCCUGCAGCCCAAGACUGGUUACUCACUGAAGCUAAGCAGGGCUGAGCCUGAUCAGUACCUGGAUGGGAGACCACAUGGGAAAACUUGCUGUUGGAA
rnacentral:rRNA from 1 species